rnacentral:snRNA from 1 species
CUCCUUGCGCAGUGGCAAUAUCGUAACCAAUGAAGGUCUCCUGAGGUGCGAUUAUUGCUAGUUGAAAACUUUUACCAAAUUCUAGCUUUAUUUCUUUCAUAUAACAAAAGAUAUGUUCAAAAAAAUAUUCA